rnacentral:rRNA from 1 species
CCUACGGGUGGCUGCAGUGGGGAAUAUUGGACAAUGGGGGCAACCCUGAUCCAGCAAUGCCGCGUGUGUGAAGAAGGCCUGCGGGUUGUAAAGCACUUUCAGUAGGGAAGAAAAGCUCGGGGCUAAUACCUCCGGGUCUUGACGUUACCUAAAGAAGAAGCACCGGCUAACUCCGUGCCAGCAGCCGCGGUAAUACGGAGGGUGCGAGCGUUAAUCGGAGUUACUGGGCGUAAAGCGGUAGUAGGUGGUUGAACGCCCUGGGCUUAACCUGGGAACUGCAUUCGAUACUGCCCGGCUAGAGUAUGGGAGAGGGAAGCGGAAUUUCCGGUGUAGCGGUGAAAUGCGUAGAUAUCGGAAGGAACACCAAUGGCGAAGGCAGCUUCCGGGCCCAAUACUGACGCUGAGGUGCGAAAGCGUGGGAUCAAACAGGAUUAGAUACCCCAGUAGUC